rnacentral:rRNA from 1 species
UCGAGAAUCAUUCACAAUGGGCGAAAGCCUGAUGGUGUGACGCCGCGUGGAGGAUGAAGGUCUUCGGAUUGUAAACUCCUGUCAUGUGGGGGUAAGGCUUGGCGUUUAACUGGCGUCAAGAUUGAUAGUACCACAAGAGGAAGGGGCGGCUAACUCUGUGCCAGCAGCCGCGGUAAUACAGAGGCCCCAAGCGUUGUUCGGAAUCACUGGGCGUAAAGGGUGCGUAGGCGGCGGUGUAAGUCAGAUGUGAAAUCCCGGGGCUCAACCUCGGAACUGCAUCCGAUACUGCAUUGCUUGAGUACUGGAGGGGAGUCUGGAAUUCACGGUGGAGCAGUGAAAUGCGUGGAUAUCGUGAGGAACACUAGUGGCGAAGGCGAGACUCUGGACAGUAACUGACGCU